AGUGAACGCUGGCGGUAGGCCUAACACAUGCAAGUCGAACGGCAGCACAGUAAGAGGUUGCUCUUACGGGUGGGGAGUGGCGGAUGGGUGAGGAAUACAUCCGAAUCUACUUUUUCGUGGGGGAAAACGGAGGGAAACUUACGCUAAUACCGCAUACGACCUACGGGUGAAAGCAGGGGAUCUUCGGACCUUGCGCGAAUGAAUGAGCCGAUGUCGGAUUAGCUAGUUGGCGGGGUAAAGGCCCACCAAGGCGACGAUCCGUAGCUGGUCUGAGAGGAUGAUCAGCCACACUGGAACUGAGACACGGUCCAGACUCCUACGGGAGGCAGCAGUGGGGAAUAUUGGACAAUGGGCGCAAGCCUGAUCCAGCAAUACCGCGUGAGUGAAGAAGGCCUUCGGGUUGUAAAGCCCUUUUGUUGGGAAAGAAAAGCAGCAGGUUAAUACCCCGCUGUUCUGACGGUACCCAAAGAAUAAGCACCGGCUAACUUCGUG
rnacentral:rRNA from 1 species